UACGGAGGAUCCGAGCGUUAUCCGGAUUUAUUGGGUUUAAAGGGUGCGCAGGCGGGAGAUUAAGUCGGCGGUGAAAUUUUGCAGCUCAACUGUAAAAGUGCCUUCGAAACUAGUUUCCUUGAGUGUGGAUGAAGUAGGCGGAAUUUGUGGUGUAGCGGUGAAAUGCAUAGAUAUCACGAGGAACUCCGAUUGCGCAGGCAGCUUACUAAACCAUAACUGACGCUCAGGCACGAAGGCGUGGGGAUCAAACAGGAUUAGAUACCCCGGUAGUCCCU
rnacentral:rRNA from 1 species